rnacentral:tRNA from 1 species
GCCCGGCUAGCUCAGUCGGUAGAGCAUGAGGCUCUUAAUGUCAGGGUCGUGGGUUCGAGCCCCACAUUGGGUC